UACGUAGGUGGCAAGCGUUAUCCGGAAUUACUGGGCGUAAAGCGCACGCAGGCGGUCUCUUAAGUUUGACGUGAAAGCUCCCGGCUUAACUGGGAGAGGUCGUUGAAGACUGGGAGACUUGAGGAAAGGAGAGGGGUGUAGAAUUCCCGGUGUAGUGGUGGAAUGCGUAGAUAUCGGGGGGAAUACCAGUGGCGAAAGCGGCACCCUAGCCUUUUUCUGACGCUCAUGUGCGAAAGCGUGGGGAGCGAACGGG
rnacentral:rRNA from 1 species